rnacentral:rRNA from 1 species
AAAAUUUACAAUGCGGGAAACCGUGAUAAGGGGACACCGAGUGCCAGCAUCAUAUGCUGGCUGUCCAGGUGUGUAAAAUACACCUGUUAGCAAGGGCCGGGCAAGACCGGUGCCAGCCGCCGCGGUAACACCGGCGGCCCGAGUGGUGAUCGUGAUUAUUGGGUCUAAAGGGUCCGUAGCCGGUUUGGUCAGUCCUCCGGGAAAUCUGACGGCUCAACCGUUAGGCUUUCGGGGGAUACUGCCAGGCUUGGAACCGGGAGAGGUAAGAGGUACUACAGGGGUAGGAGUGAAAUCUUGUAAUCCCUGUGAGACCACCUGUGGCGAAGGCGUCUUACCAGAACGGGUUCGACGGUGAGGGACGAAAGCUGGGGGCACGAACCGGAUUAGAUACCCGGGUAGUCCCAGCCGUAAACGAUGCUCGCUAGGUGUCAGGCAUGGCGCGACCGUGUCUGGUGCCGCAGGGAAGCCGUGAAGCGAGCCACCUGGGAAGUACGGCCGCAAGGCUGAAACUUAAAGGAAUUGGCGGGGGAGCAC